GCUGCCCUCUUUCUUCGUGCCUAAUACAUGCAAGUCGAGCGAACGGACGAGAAGCUUGCUUCUCUGAUGUUAGCGGCGGACGGGUGAGUAACACGUGGAUAACCUACCUAUAAGACUGGGAUAACUUCGGGAAACCGGAGCUAAUACCGGAUAAUAUUUUGAACCGCAUGGUUCAAAAGUGAAAGACGGUCUUGCUGUCACUUAUAGAUGGAUCCGCGCUGCAUUAGCUAGUUGGUAAGGUAACGGCUUACCAAGGCAACGAUGCAUAGCCGACCUGAGAGGGUGAUCGGCCACACUGGAACUGAGACACGGUCCAGACUCCUACGGGAGGCAGCAGUAGGGAAUCUUCCGCAAUGGGCGAAAGCCUGACGGAGCAACGCCGCGUGAGUGAUGAAGGUCUUCGGAUCGUAAAACUCUGUUAUUAGGGAAGAACAUAUGUGUAAGUAACUGUGCACAUCUUGACGGUACCUAAUCAGAAAGCCACGGCUAACUACGUG
rnacentral:rRNA from 1 species